GGAAAGGAUAGGGGGCCCCGGCGCUGUGGAGCUCUUUGCGACCGCAUCUGUGCAGCGCCCCCUGUGUACCCUUCUCAGAAGUCUCCAUCCUGCAGCUUCAGUUUUGUUUAUCGAUCUUAGACCUGUUUCCUGAUGCCAAAAUAUUCAAUAAGCUGGGUGUCAGAAGCUCAUGCCUCUAAAUGAAGGUGUCCUGGAACUUCUGUGGAGAGAAUCUCUUUUCCUGUCCCCACUACUACUCACACAGAAUUCUUCCUGCACACUUAAUCACCUCCCUGGGGUGGAGGACUACUGAAGCCCAUGACAGAAGAGACUCCUGUGUCAGAACAUUGGAGGACCCAUAUGGGACAGGAAAACGACUUAUUUCACACACACACACACACACACACACACACACACA
rnacentral:lncRNA from 1 species